ACGCUCGACACCUACGGGAGGCAGCAGUGGGGAAUAUUGCACAAUGGGGGAAACCCUGAUGCAGCGACGCCGCGUGAAGGAAGAAGUAUUUCGGUAUGUAAACUUCUAUCAGCAGGGAAGAAAAUGACGGUACCUGACUAAGAAGCCCCGGCUAACUACGUGCCUGCAGCCGCGGUAAUCUGAGCGGGCUGGCAAGGC
rnacentral:rRNA from 1 species